GACGAACGCUGGCGGCGUGCCUAACACAUGCAAGUCGAACGGAGUAAAGACCUCGGUUUCUACUUAGUGGCGAACUGGUGAGUAACGCGUGAGAAACCUGCCUUUCAGUGGGGGACAACAGUUGGAAACGACUGCUAAUACCGCAUAAUGUUAUUUGAGCGCAUCCUCGAAUACCCAAAGCUUUAUGUGCUGAAAGAUGGUCUCGCGUCUUAUUAGCUAGAUGGCGGGGUAACGGCCCACCAUGGCGACGAUCAGUAGCCGGUCUGAGAGGAUGAACGGCCACAUUGGGACUGAGAUACGGCCCAGACUCCUACGGGAGGCAGCAGUGGGGAAUAUUGGGCAAUGGGGGAAACCCUGACCCAGCAACGCCGCGUGAAGGAAGAAGGCCUUCGGGUUGUAAACUUCUUUUACCAGGGACGAAGAACGUGACGGUACCUGGAGAAAAAGCAACGGCUAACUACGUGCCAGCAGCCGCCGUAACAC
rnacentral:rRNA from 1 species